GAUGAACGCUGGCGGCGUGCCUAAUACAUGCAAGUCGAACGCUGGAAAUCUAGCUUGCUAGAUUGAAGGAGUGGCGAACGGGUGAGUAAUACAUAAGCAACCUACCCACGAAGACUGGGAUAAUCUCUGGAAACGGGGACUAAUACCGGAUAGGUAAUCGGAAGGCAUCUUCUGAUUAUUAAAGGUUAAAAACACUGGUGGAUGGGCUUAUGGCGCAUUAGUUAGUUGGUGAGGUAACGGCCCACCAAGACGAUGAUGCGUAGCCGGCCUGAGAGGGUGAACGGCCACAUUGGGACUGAGACACGGCCCAGACUCCUACGGGAGGCAGCAGUAGGGAAUGUUCGGCAAUGGGGGAAACCCUGACCGAGCAACGCCGCGUGAGUGAUGACGGCCUUCGGGGUGUAAAGCUCUGUUGUAAGGGAAGAACGGUAGAUAGAGAAUAUCUAAAUGACGGUACCUUACCAGAAAGCCACGGCUAACUACGUG
rnacentral:rRNA from 1 species